rnacentral:rRNA from 1 species
UGGGGGAAUUUUUGGGGCAAUGGGGCGAAAGCCUGACCCAGCGACGCCGCGUGAAGGAAGAAGGUCUUCGGAUUGUAAACUUCUGUCAACAGGGACGAAAACAAUGACGGUACCUGUGGAGGAAGCCACGGCUAACUACGUGCCAGCAGCCGCGGUAAUACGUAGGUGGCGAGCGUUAUCCGGAUUUACUGGGUGUAAAGGGUGUGUAGGCGGGGAAGCAAGUCAGAUGUGAAACUAUGGGCUUAAACCCAUAAAGUGCAUUUGAAACUGUUUCUCUUGAGGAUCGGAGGGGUAAAUAGAAUUCCCGGUGUAGCGGUGAAAUGCGUAGAUAUCGGGAGGAAUACCGGUGGCGAAGGCGAUUUACUGGACGAUUACUGACGCUGAGACACGAAAGCGUGGGGAGCAAACAGGAUUAGAUACCCU